rnacentral:rRNA from 1 species
AUUGAACGCUGGCGGCAUGCUUUACACAUGCAAGUCGAACGGUAACAGGUUAAGCUGACGAGUGGCGAACGGGUGAGUAAUGCAUCGGAACGUGCCCGAUCGUGGGGGAUAACACUUCGAAAGAAGUGCUAAUACCGCAUACGAUCUGAGGAUGAAAGCGGGGGACCGUAAGGCCUCGCGCGAUCGGAGCGGCCGAUGUCAGAUUAGGUAGUUGGUGGGGUAAAGCUCACCAAGCCGACGAUCUGUAGCUGGUCUGAGAGGACGACCAGCCACACUGGGAUUGAGACUCGGCCCAGACUCCUACGGGAGGCAGCAGUGGGGAAUUUUGGACAAUGGGCGCAAGCCUGAUCCAGCAAUGCCGCGUGCAGGAAGAAGGCCUUCGGGUUGUAAACUGCUUUUGUACGGAGCGAAAAGGCUCCCUCUAAUACAGGGGGCUCAUGACGGUACCGUAAGAAUAAGCACCGGCUAACUACGUGCCAGCCGCCGCCGUAA